rnacentral:lncRNA from 1 species
GGGAAAUGAGUAAUUAAGAGUUGCGUGGCGCUCAAAAAAAAGACGAAUCGACGAGAUUUGAAAAUCGCGUAACUCCGGAUUCGCGUAAGUCCGGGUAUUACUGUACUAUUGAACAAAGAUAUAAAGAAUCUAGAAAUCAGUGAGUACAAAGUAUGUUUUUUUUAUAUCUUCAAGAGGUGUAAUUAUCUUUAUAUUCUAUUUAUUGAGGCAGAACAUGAGUAAAUCCUCUUGUGGCGUACUAAUGUGUAUGUGGCUUACAGAACUGUAUUUGUUCUCAAAAUCUGUUCAAUCAAUUUUGGUUAAACUUUGUCAUUUUUCAUUAAUUACAUUCAGGAAUUUAAAAAUGUAAAAAAAAAUGGAGGUUUAUGACUUCAUUUUCGAGAUAUAAGGUUAUUUAACGAAUGUGCAUGACAAAGCAAUAUCACAUGACAGGCAAUGUUUCAUAGUUCUUCUAUAGGCUUAUAAAUCAAGUUUAUUCUCAAAAUUUAAUGGGCUGAUUUUGAUAAAACUUUGCCAUUUUCCAUUAAUUGAGACGAGGAAUCCAAAAAUGUAAUGAGGGUUCCUUUGAAAUGUAAAAAAUAUGGGUCCAUGAUUUUGUUUUCGAUAUACAAAGGGAUUAAAGUGACAAUGUCAGGCUCUCCGAUGUGACUGAGCACUUCUAACAGAAUUUAGUCCUAGAGUUCAAAAAUAAAAUGAGCAUUGUGUGCACCUAAUGGAAAAUAGGCAUGAAAAAUGAACAAGAACAAAGCAAAUUGCCAUCAAUUGCUUUGUUCUCGGAUCACAUUUCCAUGUUGGCAACUACAAGGAUUGUCUGUCCAAACUUGGCCAGUGCAAGGAUUGCCUUUCCCAUGGCUGACAGGUACAAGGAUAGCCUCUUUUGUGGCAGAAAGUGCAAAGUUUACCUGUCUGCAGCUGUUAGGUACAAGGAUCACCUCUUCUAUGCCUAACAGGUGCAGAGAUAACUUCUUUCUUUUUGGCUUCACCUCAAUUCUAACACAAUGUGACAAAGUUAUGUGAUGUCUUAGUACUAAACUGUAUAAAUCAAAAUGUUUUGAUAUAUUUCUAAUAAGAAUUUUUUUUCAGUUAAAAGAUAUUGAACAGAAAUUAAUAAUAGCCAAAAAGCAAAAAGAACUUUUAAGAAAAUGCCCUAAUUUGCCUUCUGAUGAAGAUGAUUGUGGAGAAAAUAUCAGUCAUUCCACAGAUGAAUGUGAUAAUUUAUUCAAAUGUCCAACUACAAAUUUGGAUAGCUCUACCAAAGUUUUUUCAAAACAUUCAACAAAAUUGGAAGAAGCAAAUAACCACAUUAAUCAGCUGUUAUUAAAUUCUAAGUCACCAUCACCAGCAUUCACAAGUUCAUCGUCAUCAUCUCUCCAUCUUCAACAAAAUUCAUCUUCUGCACCUCCUAGUCCAACAAAACAUCGUCAUAGUUUUUUACAGGAAUCAAAUCCAUAUAAUACUAUUUCACAUUCAGCAACUUUGAGGCCAAGAAAGAAUCUAUCCAGAGGUGUAUGUUUAAAUAGUGAUAUUAGAGAAGCUUCAGUUAUGACUCGUACACAUUCUGUUUAUUCUACAAGCUCUGAAUAUGAUAAUGUAAGUUGUAGUAGUGGCAGUAUGCUAUCCCUUCGAAUGCCAUAUCAAAACAGGUUAGUUGGAAUUGAUUAAACUUUGAGUCUGUGUGCAUUGUACAUUUUCUCUAUUAUAGUUAUAAGCCAGAAACUAUUUAAAUUACAAAAAUAAAUUAAAAAAUAAAUCAUCUGCUUUCUUUUCAAAAAAGAAAAAGAUUUAUUUUAAAAUAAAUAUAAUUGUGGAAACAUUCUAAAUAGAG